AAAAAGCCGUUUUGCUUUUACAUUAUGAAAACCGGUGAUUUAUAAUAACUUAGCAAAUCGCAAAGUGAAAACAACCGAUAAAUCAUUCAAGUUUCUGACCUAUCAGCUUUCGACGGUAUGGUAUUGGCUUACCGUGGCAGUGACGGUUAACGGGGGAUUAGGGUUCGAUUCCGGAGAGGGAGCCUGAGAAACGGCUACCACAUCUAAGGAAGGCAGCAGGCGCGCAAAUUACCCAAUUCUAACAGUUUGAGAGAGGUAGUAACAAGAAAUAACAAUACAAGGCAGUUAAAAUGCUUUGUAAUUGGAAUGAUAGAAAUUUAAACCCUUUUUAAAGUAUCAAUUGGAGGGCAAGUCUGGUGCCAGCAGCCGCGGUAAUUCCAGCUCCAAUAGCGUAUAUUAAAAUUGUUGCAGUUAAAAAGCUCGUAGUUGAAGUUCUGCUGAAAGUAACCGGUCUGCUUUUAAUAAAAGUGGUAUCUUGGUAUGUAUUUAGCAAUGAUGUCCUUUGAAGUGUUUUUUACUUUAUUGUAAUAAAGCAUAUUCAGGACUUUUACUUUGAGAAAAUUAGAGUGUUUCUAGCAGGCUGACGCUUUGAAUACUGCAGCAUGGAAUAAUAAGA
rnacentral:rRNA from 1 species